GGACAACGCUGGCGGCGUGCCUAACACAUGCAAGUCGAGCGGAGACAGACGGAAAGCUUGCUUUUUGUCUGUUUCAGCGGCGGACGGGUGAGUAACGCGUGAGCAACCUGCCUUUAACAGGGGAAUAACGCAUCGAAAGAUGUGCUAAUACCGCAUAAGACCACAGCAUCACAUGGUGCAGGGGUCAAAAGGAGCAAUCCGGUUAAAAGAUGGGCUCGCGUCCGAUUAGCUGGUUGGUGAGACAACAGCCCACCAAGGCGACGAUCGGUAGCCGACCUGAGAGGGUGAUCGGCCACAUUGGAACUGAGAUACGGUCCAGACUCCUACGGGAGGCAGCAGUGGGGAAUAUUGGGCAAUGGGCGAAAGCCCUGACCCAGCAACGCCGCGUGAGGGAAGAAGGGUUUCGGCUCGUAAACCUCUGUCCUAUGGGACGAAGGAAGUGACGGUACCAUAGGAGGAAGCCCCGGCUAACUACGUGCCAGCCGCAGC
rnacentral:rRNA from 1 species